rnacentral:lncRNA from 10 species
GCGGGGCCUGCCGCCGCCACCGCCUCAGGGAAGAGGAAGGAGGCCGCGGCUUCGCGUCCCGCCUCUCGCCUGGCUGGCCGUGGGGGGCCUGGACGCAGUGGCCUCCCGAAUCUCCCAGGACCCUAAUAUCGCCCGAGGAUGCUGGGAGGAACGCUGAGCCGACCUCUCCGUUAGGCUGAAGAUUGCACAAACCAUGCUAAUGGCCAGCAUGGAUGGAGGGAGCGUGUGAGAUGUGUGGGGCAGCGUGCUGCAUCUCAGCCAACUCCAGGAGCCAGUUGAUGUGAUGGACUACCUUAAUUGAUUUUUGAAUGUUGAGCCAGCCUUAUGCAUGUGGGAUAAACCCCUGUUGAUCAUGGACAUUUUUAAAUUCUAGGUAUAGAGCAAUAAAAGAAGAAUUCAAGCAAAGGGAUCAGGAAGAGGAUUGCUACUAAGAGGCAGAGAAACCAAUGAAGCCUUUUGCCAUCUCACACUGGAAAGACAAAAAGUCAUAGAGGCUUGAUUUUUAUAAGGAAAGAGAAGUGAGAAACUGACCUCGAUACUUUGUUGGACUUGCCUAAAGACAUUUGCUGAAUUCUCGGGCUGUGCUGGGAUGGAGAUUAGAGGCCAAAUAAAAACCUCUGGAGCUCCCAGGCCUCUACAGUUUGCUGGGUCCCAUUACUUUCUGAGACAGGAAGCAUGCUCAUGGCAAUACCCGGAGUCUCCACUGCAAGACCAGAGUGACGGAGGCAGCAGAGCUCCUCAGCAGGCCAGGAGUCUCCAGAGGCACUGCCGAAUGUCUAAGAAGCAACCUCAUUGUAUUCCCAAGACCUGGGAAUCCAGGUCUCGCAGAUACGAUGAUACAAUCUAUAGCCAGGACAUCUCUUCAUGUGUAGGAUAAGCAACUAUCCCAGUCUUCCCAGGAUUGAGGGGCUUCUCCAGAUGCUGCACUUCUGGUGCUAAAAAUGAGAAACUGAAAUGAAUUAGUCACCCAAGGAAUGCUGACCCUGUGCUAUAUGAUCACAUUUACUCUUUAAAGCAAUGCUUUGAG